rnacentral:rRNA from 1 species
GGGCCCGCACAAGCGGUGGAGCAUGUGGUUUAAUUCGAUGAUACGCGAGGAACCUUACCAGGGCUUAAAUGUAGUGGGACAGGUCUAGAGAUAGACCCUUCUUCGGACUCAUUACAAGGUGCUGCAUGGUUGUCGUCAGCUCGUGCCGUGAGGUGUCAGGUUAAGUCCUAUAACGAGCGCAACCCCUAUCGUUAGUUGCCAGCGGGUAAUGCCGGGAACUCUAGCGAAACUGCCGGUGCAAACCGUGAGGAAGGUGGGGAUGACGUCAAAUCAUCACGGCCCUUACGUCCUGGGCUACACACGUGCUACAAUGGUCGGUACAGAGAGCAGCCACUACGCGAGUAGGAGCGAAUCUUCAAAACCGAUCUCAGUUCGGAUCGCAGUCUGCAACUCGACUGCGUGAAGCUGGAAUC